AAUGAACGCUGGCGGCAUGCCUAACACAUGCAAGUCGAGCGGAUGAAGGGAGCUUGCUCCUGGAUUCAGCGGCGGACGGGUGAGUAAUGCCUAGGAAUCUGCCUUGUAGUGGGGGAUAACGUCCGGAAACGGGCGCUAAUACCGCAUACGUCCUGUGGGAGAAAGUGGGGGAUCUUCGGACCUCACGCUAUCAGAUGAGCCUAGGUCGGAUUAGCUAGUUGGUGGGGUAAAGGCCUACCAAGGCGACGAUCCGUAACUGGUCUGAGAGGAUGAUCAGUCACACUGGAAGUGAGACACGGUCCAGACUCCUAGGGGAGGCCGCAGUGGGGACUAUUGGAAAAUGGGCGAAAGCCUGAUCCAGCCAUGCCGCGUGUGUGAAGAAGGUCUUCGGAUGGUAAAGCACUUUAAGUUGGGAGGAAGGGCAGUAAGUUAAUACCUUGCUGUUUUGACGUUACCAACAGAAUAAGCACCGGCUAACUUCGUG
rnacentral:rRNA from 1 species